CGUAGUCGAUGGGAAACAGGUUAAUAUUCCUGUACUUGGUGUUACUGCGAAGGGGGGACGGAGAAGGCUAUGUUGGCCGGGCGACGGUUGUCCCGGUUUAAGCGUGUAGGCUGGUUUUCCAGGCAAAUCCGGAAAAUCAAGGCUGAGGCGUGAUGACGAGGCACUACGGUGCUGAAGCAACAAAUGCCCUGCUUCCAGGAAAAGCCUCUAAGCAUCAGGUAACAUCAAAUCGUACCCCAAACCGACACAGGUGGUCAGGUAGAGAAUACCAAGGCGCUUGAGAGAACUCGGGUGAAGGAACUAGGCAAAAUGGUGCCGUAACUUCGGGAGAAGGCACGCUGAUAUGUAGGUGAAGUCCCUUGCGGAUGGAGCUGAAAUCAGUCGAAGAUACCAGCUGGCUGCAACUGUUUAUUAAAAACACAGCACUGUGCAAACACGAAAGUGGACGUAUACGGUGUGACGCCUGCCCGGUGCCGGAAGGUUAAUUGAUGGGGUCAGCGCAAGCGAAGCUCUUGAUCGAAGCCCCGGUAAACGGCGGCCGUAACUAUAACGGUCCUAAGGUAGCGAAAUUCCUUGUCGGGUAAGUUCCGACCUGCACGAAUGGCGUAAUGAUGGCCAGGCUGUCUCCACCCGAGACUCAGUGAAAUUGAACUCGCUGUGAAGAUGCAGUGUACCCGCGGCAAGACGGAAAGACCCCGUGAACCUUUACUAUAGCUUGACACUGAACAUUGAGCCUUGAUGUGUAGGAUAGGUGGGAGGCUUUGAAGUGUGGACGCCAGUCUGCAUGGAGCCGGCCUUGAAAUACCACCCUUUAAUGUUUGAUGUUCUAACGUGGACCCGUGAUCCGGGUUGCGGACAGUGUCUGGUGGGUAGUUUGACUGGGGCGGUCUCCUCCUAAAGAGUAACGGAGGAGCACGAAGGUUGGCUAAUCCUGGUCGGACAUCAGGAGGUUAGUGCAAUGGCAUAAGCCAGCUUGACUGCGAGCGUGACGGCGCGAGCAGGUGCGAAAGCAGGUCAUAGUGAUCCGGUGGUUCUGAAUGGAAGGGCCAUCGCUCAACGGAUAAAAGGUACUCCGGGGAUAACAGGCUGAUACCGCCCAAGAGUUCAUAUCGACGGCGGUGUUUGGCACCUCGAUGUCGGCUCAUCACAUCCUGGGGCUGAAGUAGGUCCCAAGGGUAUGGCUGUUCGCCAUUUAAAGUGGUACGCGAGCUGGGUUUAGAACGUCGUGAGACAGUUCGGUCCCUAUCUGCCGUGGGCGCUGGAGAACUGAGGGGGGCUGCUCCUAGUACGAGAGGACCGGAGUGGACGCAUCACUGGUGUUCGGGUUGUCAUGCCAAUGGCACUGCCCGGUAGCUAAAUGCGGAAGAGAUAAGUGCUGAAAGCAUCUAAGCACGAAACUUGCCCCGAGAUGAGUUCUCCCUGACCCUUUAAGGGUCCUGAAGGAACGUUGAAGACGACGACGUUGAUAGGCCGGGUGUGUAAGCGCAGCGAUGCGUUGAGCUAACCGGUACUAAUGAACCGUGAGG
rnacentral:rRNA from 1 species